rnacentral:rRNA from 1 species
GACGAACGCUGGCGGCGUGCUUAACACAUGCAAGUCGAACGGAAAGGCCCUGCUUUUGUGGGGUGCUCGAGUGGCGAACGGGUGAGUAACACGUGAGUAACCUGCCCUUGACUUUGGGAUAACUUCAGGAAACUGGGGCUAAUACCGGAUAGGAGCUCCUGCUGCAUGGUGGGGGUUGGAAAGUUUCGGCGGUUGGGGAUGGACUCGCGGCUUAUCAGCUUGUUGGUGAGGUAGUGGCUUACCAAGGCUUUGACGGGUAGCGGGCCUGAGAGGGUGACCGGCCACAUUGGGAAUGAGAUGCGGCCCAGACUCCUACGGGAGGCAGCAGUGGGGAAUAUUGCACAAUGGGCGGAAGCCUAAUGCAGCAACGCCGCGUGCGGGAUGACGGCCUUCGGGUUUUAAACCGCUUUCGCCUGUGACGAAGCGUGAGUGACGGUAAUGGGUAAAGAAGCACCGGCUAACUACGUG